rnacentral:lncRNA from 1 species
UUUCUUGCUGGUGUACAUUCUAUGGGUUUGAACACACAUAUAAUGACAUGUAUCUGUCAUUGUGACAUUCUAUAGAGUGUUUUCAUUGCCCUCAAAAUACUUCUGUAUGCUGCCUGUUCCCCUCCCCCACCCCUGCCCCGCCACCCCUUUCCCAUUCCUGCCACCCACUGUCUUUCACUGUGUCUGUAGUCCUGCCUUCUCCAGAACAUCAUAGAGUCAGAAUCUUAUAGUAUGUAGACUCCUAUGCAUUCAAGUUUACUUUAUGCCUUUUCCUGGUUCAAUAACUCAUUUCUUUUUAGGGCCAAAUAGUAUUUCAUUGUCUGGAUUUACCACAGUUCCAUUAUCCAUUCACCUACUGAUGAAGAACAUCCUGAUGGCUUCCAGGUUUUGGAAAUUAUGAAACAAGUUGCUAUAGGCAUCUAUGUUUGGAUCUCUGUGGAGACAGAAGUUCUUAAUUCUUCAGGUCAGUUCCAGGAGUGCAGUUGCUGGAUGCUGGGGAAAGUGGCCUCCUCACUCCUGACCCUGCAUGCUUCUGGGGAUCUUGGCAGAGUCCUUCAGUUCCUGCCUAAGGAGAACUGAGCCCUCUCCCCAUGGACGUGCCUGCCACUCAGGUAUCUUUUAUCCCCUGUAGACCCUGUCAGCGUCUUCCAACAUGGGGACACCACAGCUUUCCACAGAAGGGACACAACGCCAUGCAGUCAUUAAAACCAGCAGUUUGGUUUUAAUCGGCCUGAAUUCAUGUCUAGCUCUUCCUCUUUCUUCCCACCUGUGUGAACCUGGACAAGUAGCUUCCUGGCUCUGGGAUUCUAUUGUCUCAUGUUUAAGUUGGGAAUAAUAAAAGACAUCUUCUCAUUAAAUCUCUUAAACAGCCCUCCAAGGUAUAAGCAUUGUCCCCAUAUUAUAGACGAGCAACCAGACAUAG